rnacentral:misc_RNA from 1 species
AAAGUCGUAACAAGGUUUCCGUAGGUGAACCUGCGGAAGGAUCAUUAACACGUAUCCAUACGUAUUAUAUACCAAACCGUGAACUUGUUUGUAAUAAAAAACGUUGGACGAGGAGAGAAGGGGAUUCAUUCAUCUUGAGUCUUUCUUUGAUUCUGUCCGUAUCUUUUAUUCAACAUUAUAAACCACUUGUAACCAUUUGUACUAAACAUCUAAGAAAAAAGGUGUAUGUGGACAGCAAUGUUCAUGUAUUCUUCUUUUUUUUGUAUUUACGAAACGUAAAAACAAUUCUUAGCAACGGAUAUCUUGGUUCUC